rnacentral:rRNA from 1 species
AAUGAACGCUGGCGGCAUGCCUAACACAUGCAAGUCGAACGAAGCCUUCGGGCUUAGUGGCGCACGGGUGCGUAACGCGUGGGAAUCUGCCCUUGGGUUCGGAAUAACAGUUAGAAAUGACUGCUAAUACCGGAUGAUGACGUAAGUCCAAAGAUUUAUCGCCCAAGGAUGAGCCCGCGUAGGAUUAGCUAGUUGGUGAGGUAAAGGCUCACAAAGGCGACGAUCCUUAGCUGGUCUGAGAGGAUGAUCAGCCACACUGGGACUGAGACACGGCCCAGACUCCUACGGGAGGCAGCAGUGGGGAAUAUUGGACAAUGGGCGAAAGCCUGAUCCAGCAAUGCCGCGUGAGUGAUGAAGGCCUUAGGGUUGUAAAGCUCUUUUACCCGGGAUGAUAAUGACAGUACCGGGAGAAUAAGCUCCGGCUAACUCCGUGCCAGCCGCCGCAGUAA